rnacentral:rRNA from 1 species
GACGAACGCUGGCGGCGUGCUUAACACAUGCAAGUCGAACGGAAAGGCCCUGCUUUUGUGGGGUGCUCGAGUGGCGAACGGGUGAGUAACACGUGAGUAACCUGCCCUUGACUUUGGGAUAACUUCAGGAAACUGGGGCUAAUACCGGAUAGGAGCUCCUGCUGCAUGGUGGGGGUUGGAAAGUUUCGGCGGUUGGGGAUGGACUCGCGGCUUAUCAGCUUGUUGGUGGGGUAGUGGCUUACCAAGGCUUUGACGGGUAGCCGGCCUGAGAGGGUGACCGGGCACAUGGGGGAUGAAUUGCGGCCCAGGCUCCAGGGGGGGGCAAGGGGGGGGGAUUUUGCCAAAGGGGGGGGAGCCUGGAGCAGCAAGCCCCGGGGGGGGGAGGCGGUCUUUGGGUUGUAAACCCUUUUCCCCUGGGGAGGAGGGGGGGUGGGGGGAAGGGGAAAAAAGGCCCCGGCCAACCUCGGGC